rnacentral:rRNA from 1 species
GGGUUGUGAGGUUAAGCGACUAAGCGUACACGGUGGAUGCCCUGGCAGUCAGAGGCGAUGAAGGGCGUGCUAAUCUGCGAUAAGCGCCGGUAAGGUGAUAUGAACCGUUAUAACCGGCGAUACCCGAAUGGGGAAACCCAGUGUGACUCGUCACACUAUCAUUAACUGAAUCCAUAGGUUAAUGAGGCGAACCGGGGGAACUGAAACAUCUAAGUACCCCGAGGAAAAGAAAUCAACCGAGAUU